rnacentral:rRNA from 1 species
GAUGAACGCUGGCGGCGUGCCUAAUACAUGCAAGUCGAGCGAACAGACGAGGAGCUUGCUCCUUUGACGUUAGCCGCGGACGGGUGAGUAACACGUGUAUAACCUACCUAUAAUACUGGUAUAACUUCGGGACUCGGGAGCUAACACCGUAUAAUCUAUUGAACCGCAGUGUUCAAUGGUAAAUGACGGUUUUGCGGGCGGUUGUAGAUGGAUUCGCGCGUGAUCAUCUAGUUGGUGGGGUAACGGCUUACGAAGGCAACGACGGGUAGCCGGCCUGAGAGGGUGACCGGCCACAUUGGGACUGAGAUACGGCCCAGACUCCUACGGGAGGCAGCAGUGGGGAAUAUUGCACAAUGGGCGGAAGCCUGAUGCAGCAACGCCGCGUGCGGGAUGACGGCCUUCGGGUUGUAAACCGCUUUCGCCUGUGACGAAGCGUGAGUGACGGUAAUGGGUAAAGAAGCACCGGCUAACUACGUG